rnacentral:rRNA from 1 species
GUGUCAGCCGCCGCGGUAAUACGUAAGUCCCGAGUGUUACCUGGAAUAAUUGGGUGUAAAGGGUUCGUAGGUGGACUGAAAAGUUGGAUAUUAAAGACCAAGGCUCAACCUUGUGUUUGUGUCCAAAACUGCCAGUCUAGAAUUAGGGAGAGGUAAGUGGAAUUCUGUGUGUAGGGGUGCAAUCCGUAGAUACACAGAGGAACACCAAAAGCGAAGGCAACUUACUGGAACUAUAUUGACGCUGAUGAACGAAAGCGUGGGUAGCGAAAAGGAUUAGAUACCCUUGUAGUCCACGCCCUAAAUGAUGAUAACUAAGUGUUGGGACUAGAUCCCAGUGCUGAAGCUAACGCAUUAAGUUAUCCACCUGAGGAGUACGGUCGCAAGAUUAAAACUCAAAGGAAUUGACGG